rnacentral:rRNA from 1 species
GAUGAACGCUGGCGGCGUGCCUAAUACAUGCAAGUCGAGCGAAUGGAUUGAGAGCUUGCUCUUAUGAAGUUAGCGGCGGACGGGUGAGUAACACGUGGGUAACCUGCCCGUAAGACUGGGAUAACUCCGGGAAACCGGGGCUAAUACCGGAUAACAUUUUGAACCGCAUGGUUCGAAAUUGAAAGGCGGCUUCGGAUGUCACUUAUGGAUGUAGCCGCGUCGCAUUAGCUAGUUGGUGAGGUAACGGCUCACCAAGGCAACGAUGCGUAGCCGACCUGAGAGGGUGAUCGGCCACACUGGGACUGAGACACGGCCCAGACUCCUACGGGAGGCAGCAGUAGGGAAUCUGCCGCAAUGGACGAAAGUCUGACGGAGCAACGCCGCGUGAGUGAUGAAGGCUUUCGGGUCGUAAAACUCUGUUGUUAGGGAAGAACAAGUGCUAGUUGAAUAAGCUGGCACCUUGACGGUACCUAACCAGAAAGCCACGGCUAACUACGUGCCAGCCGCCGCGGUAA